CUCCUCUUGUUUAUAUAUGAGGUCUGACCUGCCCGGUGAAAUGUUUCAUUUUUAACGGCCGCGGUAUUUUGACCGUGCAAAGGUAGCAUAAUCAUUAGUCUUUUAAUAGGAGGCUGGUAUGAAGGGUUUGACGAGGUGUUAGCUGUCUCAUUUAAUUUGAAAUUAAAAUUUAACUUUUCAGUCAAAAGGCUGAAAUUAUAUUGGAAGACGAGAAGACCCUAUAGAGCUUUAUAAUUAAAAUUAUGAUUGAUUUUUGUUUUAUUAUUAUCUUUGAUAAUUUUAAUUAUUUUGUUGGGGUGACAAGAAAAUAUAAUUAACUUUUUUAUUUAUUUAACAUUGAUUUAUGAAUUUUAGAUCCAAUUUUAUUGAUUAUUAGAUUAAGUUACCUUAGGGAUAACAGCGUAAUCUUCCUUCAGAGUUCACAUUUACGGGAAGGCUUGCGACCUCGAUGUUGGAUUAAGAUAAUAGUUAGGUGUAGCCGCUUAAUUUAUAGGUCUGUUCGACCUUUAAAUUCUU
rnacentral:rRNA from 1 species